ensembl:rRNA 5S_rRNA 5S ribosomal RNA
GCUUACACUCAUACCACCUUGAGCACGGCUGACCUCAUCUGAUCUUGGAAAUUAAGCAGGGUUGGGCCGGGUUAGUACUUGGAUGGCAGACCGCCUGGGCAUACAAGGUGCUGUAAGCU